UACGUAGGUCCCGAGCGUUGUCCGGAUUUAUUGGGCGUAAAGCGAGCGCAGGUGGUUUAUUAAGUCUGGUGUAAAAGGCAGUGGCUCAACCAUUGUAUGCAUUGGAAACUGGUAGACUUGAGUGCAGGAGAGGAGAGUGGAAUUCCAUGUGUAGCGGUGAAAUGCGUAGAUAUAUGGAGGAACACCGGUGGCGAAAGCAGCUCUCUGGCCUGUAACUGACACUGAGGCUCGAAAGCGUGGGGAGCAAUCAGG
rnacentral:rRNA from 1 species